rnacentral:lncRNA from 1 species
CAGAAAUUAAAAAUAUAUUUAAACAAUAGCAUACAAGCAGACAUGAAUAUAGAAGCAUUAAUUAGCAAAUUAAUUAGCAAAGUGACAGCAUAGUACAUAAGAAAAAGAAGAUAACAUAGGUAUAUGUAUGUAGCCAUGAACAAUUAAGUUAAAAGAUGAGAUUUGAAGUGGAAAAAUAUGGUUGAUGCAUAGAAUCUACAUAAAACCUAAUAAUUUGGUUGGUUAACUGCAGAAAUCCAUCGUGGGGCAACUACAUACAUCAUUCUGAGAAGAAGUUUGGACCAAGCAAAAAGUGCAGAGGGUUCAGAAUUUGGGAUGAAGAACAAGUUGUUGCAUGGAUUGGGAAGAAUGGUGGAUGCAGGACUUUCAAACCUUGUCUCCUUCUCAUCAUCUUCUUCUUCAUAGAUCGUUUCUAGGGUUCUUUCGAUCUGUAAUUUCGUGACAGUGACCAACGAAAGAGGAGACACUGCACAUAAUGGGCUUAACAAUGAACUUUUAGUCAUUGAUGAAGUUAUGUUGCACAUCCUCACUCCUACUAUACUGAUCACUUUGCUCAAACAACUUUUCUGCUUAUACAAUUUUCUCUUCUUCCUG